UUGGUUUCUCAGAAUUUUGACUUUUUUAUAAAUUAAACCUUUUUGUCACAUAAUUUGAAAUAUAAAACUGAAAUGUUAAAUUGUGUAUGGGACUCUUCGGUUUGCCUACGGUUAAGAGUUUUUGAUCCUACGAACCUACCACUAAAACUAUGCAAGAAGUUCUGUCAUAGCUAAACACAUGUGACUUUUUAACUUUUCAACCUUUUUUUCCCCCCUUUUCCUGGCAGUAAUUGGCAACCAUAGAUUCUGAGGACCCAGAAUGGAAGUUUUCAUCCAAAUCCCAAGGACGGACCACCUUGGAUUCAACAAACGUGUCGGAGAUGUUCCUGGAGCUGAGUCAUCACUCCCUACAGUUAUUUCUUCCCCAGCUGUGAGUACUUCCUUUAUUUCCUUUGUGCAUUGAAUUGUGGAACAAUACAGUCCAUCAACAGUACAUUAAAAUACCACGCAAGUUUAGUCUGCAUGCUGACAUCUUUGAGUAUCCCUGAGGUCUGCCUUAGGGUUUACCGAUCCCUACAUCUGUUGACACUUUUAAACUAAAUCUUAAGACACACCUUUUUAACAUUAAAGUUUUUUACCUACACAUUAUUUAAUAUUGUCUUUUUAAUUUCAAUUUAUCCUAUUUUAUUACUUUUAUCCUUGUUUUAUUGUAGAUGUUUAUCAUUAUUUGCUUUUAUGUAAAGCAUUUUGUGUUGCAUGUUUAUGUAUAAAUUCUGAUAUAGAAAUUAAGUUUACUAUUAUUAUUAUUAUAACUUAAUUUAGUCACUUUGCCGAUACUCAAAACCCAAUGAGGAUUUGUGACAAAAUAAUCUCAAACUCAAGGUCCACUUACAAGCUUUUUCAGGGAUUUUAACAGCAAAGCAUGGUCUUCAUCAGCAAAUGGAUCUGGCACUGGUAUAGGUAUAUGGGGGUGGGUGGGGAAAUGGUCUUUGACUGUGUUUGCAUGAUAAGAGACUUUUGGUUCUGUUUGCAUUCAUAUAAAUCUUUGCCAUUUUUGUUUCAGAUCAUGCAUUUGUAUGUCCAAUCAAACCUCCCAACGCAAUGAAAUUCAUCAGGAAUUUCUGCAAAAGAAUAACCUUUAAUAUACAAUAAACUUUGUCUGAUCCAUAGUUCUCUGUCCAGCUUUCUCCCUGCUGUGUCUCUCCUCUCCCACUAGGGUGUAGUGAAGAACACGGAUUCACCCUCUUCUCCGCGACCCAGAUGCAUACCUGCUCCAGGCUGCACUGUUUAUUCUCCUUGGAUUAACUUCCCCAAACGUCCACCCUCCUCCUCCUCCUCAUCUUCCUCCUCCUCUCCCACCUCCACACAGGGAAGGAAAAACAACAAGAGACACAUGACACAUGGCAAAUCUGCUCUGACUGAGCUUGUAAACACACACACACACACACACACAAAAUCAAGCUUUUGCCACUGUUCCUCUCCGGCCCCCUCUGCAUUAGCAUGGAAGUCAUCCAUAUUGAUGCUUGGUGAUUCAUGUACUGCCAGCCUCUUUGUUUUAUCUUUUUUUUUUUCUUGCCUCCUCGCCCUCUUUACCCAGGCAAAGCUUUCUGGGGACCAGGGGGGUGAUUAAGGCGAGGAGAGAUGGAGGAGUGGUUGACUGUGGACCCCAGGGUGGUGGGGGUGGAGGCAGGUUUGUAGCCCCGGUCCCUCUGGUGAUGAGGUGGAGCCUAAUUGAUUUGUCAAUGUGGAGCCAUCUGGCACAGAAAGAUGAGGCUCCAACCUGUUCUCCUUCCUGGGGGGGGGCGGGGGCAUCAGAAGAGACGGGUUGGUUUACAAACAUAUACACAUAGACAGACACACACACACACACACACACACACACACUCCUUUGGAUUUUAUGAUCUCUUUCUUAUUUUUCACUCAAACACUCACCUUUGAUGAGGACAAAGUGUCUUCCUCUGAUAAUUUACACCUAUUGAGUGUACUGGUUCUGUUACCCCUGGGCUCACAAUGCCCCUCAGCACACGCCCAGUGAAUGAUGACGGGGACAGGAGGCAUGACAGAGCCUGUCGGGGUGGACCCCCAGCCAAAAAGGAAACGCACACAUCUCUUAACCCUCAUACAGGAGCCCCGUCGAGGAUCAAAAGGUCAGGGAUGUUGAUGGACGCCGGCACAGAAACGAAGCCUCUGGUGUCUUAAUGAAAAGCGCUUGAGGAAAUGGGGACAGACAGAGACAGAAGGAGAGAAUAGAUGCUGCCUGCACUGAUUAGGAUCCCUCCUCAUCAUCUCGCUUUAUUCCUGUCCCUCUAUCACCCUUCCUCUGACUGGGAGCCUUAUUUCUAGGGUAAUUUUAAAGGUUAUGAUAAGAAAAGCAAAUGAGUGUGUCUAUAUGACAGAUACUCUGAGUAAUGAUAGGAAUUAGCUUUAAUUUUUGUCAUUUUAGUGUAAUGUAAACACAAAAAUCACUGUCAGAAUCUCUGUAACCUACUCUCAUUGAUACUGAGAGAACAUAUCUCUACUGAAGUGUGAAAACCUCAUAAUUCAAAUUUUGGCACUUUUCAUGUCAUUUUAAGGAACAGGGGGUGAGAUGAGCCACUUUGGCAUCCCUGGGGCAAGGUGAUGAUGUCUCCAAGAAAGAUUUGUACAUGUGUUUCAAGAAGUCAUGCAUCACUGGAAAUAUUCAGAUUAUUUCUAAAAUAAACACAAUCCGACUGGCUCAAGUUGCCCAAGAUGAGAGGGAAGUGUAGUUGAAGCAGAAAUUGCUUUGAAAACACUUACUGACAUGCAACUACAAAACAGGCAGUGAAAUGUUAGUGACACCUUAGCUUGAUGUACAUUGGAAAUACACUUUAAUUUUGUAAAUGACACCUGCUUGUUCUCUCUUUUCUGAAAUUGGUGGUCCUUUAAAGCUGCACUAAACAAUAUUUUUGUAUGAACGAUGGGUCGUAGUGAUGAACCCACAGAGAAUUAUUACCCAACAACUCUGUAGUUCACCUCAGCUCUACAGAGCAUUUUAGCAUCUUUUAGCUCAUUGUUUUGGUUUUGCAGCCCGGAACUUAACUGUUAGGUUCAGACUCAUUGCUCUCAUCAGCCCCGUUUCCAGCAGCAGACAGCUGUUUUCAGUCCAAAUGCUCUGAUAAACCCAUUGUACACUACCUGCCCAGCACAAACAGCAGACAGAUACAAUUAGUGACUAGCUGGUGAACAUAAUGGAGCAUUUAGCAGCUAAAGAGCUUCUAAAGAGUUAUUUUUCUCAGGGCGAGGUAGAGACCAAAACAGAGCUAAAAGGAGAGUGAAUAUUGGAUUUACAUUAAUCAGGUAGUUAUGAACAUGACUCCAAACAUGACAGUUUUAAAUCAGGCCUGUGUUCCAGUGGUCCUGAAGUGCUGAAACUAGUAACUCUGACCAUGUCAUGGUUCACCUGAUUCCUGCAUACAGGCAGAAAUUAAAGUACUAUAAACCUGUUGUGAGGAUAUCAAAGCAGUGGAGCAGUUAAGCUAUGUAGGACGUUCGAGCGUGCUUGGACGGUACUGACUGGGAUGUGGGACGUCAUGCAUCAGCUUCUGUGAGGACUGCUGUGUACCAUCAGGCACCAGGGUGAGUUAUAACAAUGACAAACCCUGGUUCACAGCUAAAAAUCAGACAGCUAAGGUUGGAAAUGGAAGAAGCGUUCAGGAGUGGAGACAGGGACAGGUUUAACAAGACGGUGAGAGAAGCUAAACGACUGCACUCAGAGAGACUACAACACCAGUUCUCAGCCAACGACUGUUCUUCUGUCUGGAGGGAGCUCAGACAGAUCCCCUACUAGUUCAACUACAAACCUAAAGCCCCCCACUUCAUUAACGACUUAUGCCUGGCCAACCAAUUGAAUGAGUUCUACUGUAGUGAGACAAUGGGACAGUCCUGACACCAUCCCCCGUGACUCCAUCCACCAACUCCAGCCCACCAGCUCGACCUCCCCCACCUCAGCAGGGGCCUGGGCCUCUCCACAACGGCCCACCCCAGAAGCUCCCCCCUCCCCUACUGCAACAACAACUCUCUCCGGUUCCCCCCAAGGCUGCGUUCUUUCUCCUCUACUCUUCUCCCGAUACACCAACAGCUGCACCUAGAGUCACCAGCCCAUCAAGCUCCUGAAGUUUGCGGAUGGCACCACCCUCAUUGGGCUCAUCUCUGAUGGGGAUGAGUCUGCCUACAGGUGGAAGAUUGACCACCUGGUGACCUGGUGCAGUCAGAACAACCUGGAGCUCAAUGCUCUAAAGACAGUGGAGAUGGUUGUGGAUUACAGAAAGAGCCCAGCCCCACCCCACUGACACUGACUUUCAUACCCACCCAAACCCGGUCCAGCUCAAGUUCCACACUGUAUGACACACUUUUGAGAAAAUAUUAAUUUUAAUUUUCUUAUCAAACACUGAAAUAACAAUCAUCUUUAAGGUGAUUAAACUUCCACAGAAAGGGGGUAGAUGCAUAUUUUUCUUUUAAGUAUCUAACACCCAGUGUGGGAAAGAUUGAGUAAUUGAGAGAGACGAGCUCACAACACUCAAAACACACAAGCACUGAGGUUUGACUCGGUAAAAAGUUAUAUAUUUGAUCUGCAACUGUGUAUUCAAACUCAAAAGCACUCUUAAAGUAAUGUGGCGUGUGCUUAUGGCCAGGCAAAGCAGCCUAUUUAAUAUGUACAUUUUUCACAAAAGUGGAGGUGCAUUAAUAUUACUUGGUCUCUACUCUCUGCUGUCACAUUUCUAGCUCUCUCACCCAAGUGAGGGAGCAGUGCCACGGCGUGUAGCGUGUAUGUCGGACCUGACAUUAGCUAACGUUAAUGUAAGGUAACUUUAUAUACAUUAGAUACAUUGCUUUAUGUGGCCUGUCUCGUCAUUGUUUAUCACAAGCAAAAACAUAACCUAGGAACAACAAUGUGUCACCACAUAACCUGUCCCCUCAAUCUCUCACAAAGUUAACACUGCUAACAUUAGCUACAUCCCUUAAAAUAUGAUAACUAAACUAUGAACCUUGCGCACCUAGCUAGGUGGCAAAUAGCUGGCAUGCAACUGAAACUAGUGCCCUGAAACAUAUAUACAUAAACAUGUAGCUAAUAUGUAUAGCUAAUAUUCGCUAAAUCUUAUUGGGUGAGGGGUGAAGAAAUUUCUUUGAGUGCGUGUGAAGGGAGGCGGAGAGGCGACAGCUGUUUUAAAUUUUUUUUUUAAAUUUCAAAUUGGAAAUGAGUCAAGUUAUUGGUUGCAUUUAAAGCAGGACGUUUCACAUCCGAUCACAGUAAUUAUGUUAAUAAAUAUUAUCAUUUUUUAUAAUAUUUUUAAAUAUACUUUAAUAUCGUAUUGUCAAUUUUAUAUUAAUAAUUUUGACCUGCAGUAC